rnacentral:lncRNA from 1 species
GUAGAAUGUAAAUCUUGCCGUUUGGACACCAGUUGGACGAUAUAAUCUGCGUAGCGCUUCAAAUGUAUUCAUUUGCUCUUUCCUGAUCUAAGCUUUAGAAUGUGCCCAACACAGCGAGUAUCUUCAGAUUGGUUGGAAUUUUCUAUUAUUUCAAACCAAUUUACGUUGAAUUGAAUCUGUACUGGAGAAUCAACAGUAGCUUUUUGUAGGAAUUACCGAACCGAGGCACAGAAACACGGGUCCAAAGUACAAAGUAAACAAAGCGAAGGCCUAAAAAACAUUUUAUUUUGAAGGAAAUUUUCAGUUAAGUGUCACAAGCCAUUAAUAAAGGCGCUACUAGCAUUACCAUGGCUUCUGUUCCAAUUGAAAGUCAACUGUACUCGCGAUAUUUAUCAAAGCAGAGGAAAACUCAGACUGAAGAAAAAGAAGGCGGCAUUGCCGUAGUUUCAACAUCGGAGGUGUUCGACAGACCAACAAAGAAUUAUUUGUUUUCGACUUUAGCGUUGCCUCGUGCCCGACUUCUGCACCUUUUUAACGUGAGUUCCUGCAGCUCUGAAAAAAUGACAACCGACCUGAAUUUCAACAUCAAGGGGCCGCGUUGAAUUUAGCUGGGGUCGGAAAAAAGAUCAAAGGAAAAAAUGAAUCCGAUGUUUGAAAGGUAAUCCGGCUUUCGUGCAACAUAGAAAACCAUUUCACUGUUCUAUAUAGUCACUGAAAAUAGGAAAAAUCAGCUGGAGAAUUUAUGGGAAAUUGAUACUUGUCCCAAUGGUUUAGUUUGAACGCACAAUAUCUAAAUCCCAUAGUCUCUGUUGAAUUUUUCAUGAAUAAAAUCUAGGUAGAUGAUGAAACAGUCUAGUGUAAAAGUUAAUCUUGUAUAAGAAACUGGUGUACAACAGUAUGUAGCAGUGGAGUUUAACUAGUAAAUUAGAUCCGUUUUGAAUGGCGUGUGUGGAAUCGUACAAUUCUUACAACAUUGUAGGAAAACAUUAAAUUUGCCUAUGGAAUGUCAUAUUUGGCAACACCUUGAUUAAAAUCCUACUUUGUUGCAAAGAUGAAUACACAUACCAUUUAGAAUGACUAUAACGUGGAAAGCCAGAUGCACCUUUUGAGUAUCCAACAAAAGGAUGGUAGAAAGACUGGAAUUACUGCUUUUUUCAUAAACGUGAACUCUGUAGCUACCACCUCUUUCUCUUUUACUCCGUGAAGGACUAGCGUCCGAAACGUCAAAGUUUUUUCAUCUUUUCAUGGUGUAUAAUUUACCCUUUUAUCAUCAACUCUGUAGCUGUCUACUGCAUACUAAAAUUAGAUCUCUGCCGCCAUCCAAAANUAUGAAAGGUACCAAUUGAUUAGUUUUGACUGAUGGCAGUAAAAAAAAUAAAAUUCAGCAUGCAGCUUGCAACUACCAAGUUCGCAUGUUUAUGAAAAAGCAGUAAAUGUUCAGUGAUCUUAUUGCUGCAAACAUUAGUCAAGGGUAAGUUUUGCAGUGCAGUUGAUAUAAUAAUGGUUUUUGCUUGAGCUUAAUAUAUAAUGUAUGCUUGAUACUUUUAAUCAUAUAAUGGUAGUUGAAAUAUACAUGUAAUUAAUUGUAGUUUUCAAAAUUUGUAAUGGCUUGGUGACACUUUAUAGAUUGUAAAUAUGAUUUCAGAUAUUUUAUGGGCACUUUUGCAAGUGCAAAAUGAUUCCUCGUAUUCAACAGAAUUAUAGUUUGAGUGGAGAGUACUAGGGAAUGUUUCUAGUAAAUGUCAUGUUAGUAAGUUUGAUUGAUGAAAAAGUGGGCUCAACAGACUAUAUUUUUAAAGAAUCUUGUUUUGGAAUCGUCUAAUGCUUUCACUUUCACUUUCACUUUGAAAUCAUCUAAUGCAUUCAUGUUUGCUUUCAUUUUUAAAAGCUUCUCUCAUGUUUCUGCAGCCUCAGAAACUUUAAGAUUGGUUUCUUUUUACAAUUUAACAAACCAUGUAAAUUUAAUGACUGGAAGAUUUAUACCAAAACAUAAGNAAAUGUGCCACACAAGGAGUCGUCUGGCUCACAGAACCUGCAUGUAAAGCAAAAAAGAGUUUGUCCAAAAAGAAGUGAAGCCAAUAUGUUUGACAUAAUUAUUUUGUAAAAAGGGCUAAUAUAUACAAAACUGUUGCUAACUAUGAUUAUUGUGCAGCUAAAGUGGGGAAAAAGAAGAGAAAGAUGAUCAUAGUAACCACUUUGAAUGGAUAAUAUUUAGUGGUCAGACAAUGUAAACAAAACGAAUGAUGCAAUCUUCAUGUUUGCCGGCCUAAAAUGAAAGUGCAAGUUUUCAAAAAAUAGUGUGUGUUCUGAGAAAACAGUUUGUUUGUUUAGUGUCUAGCCACCAAAAAUAAGACAGCUUGCUACCCUUUGAGGAAAGGUUUUUUCUUUCUCUUUAUACACCAAAUUUGGCAACCAAUUUGAAUAAUAAUUAUUGUUCGUAACUGAAAAGCCUGGUGUUAAGGUGGAAAAAUAUAAGCAGUCACAUAUAUGAGAGGCUAGUCAGUCCAGAACAAUAGUUGCCAGAAAAAUUGGUUGCCAUAUUUCAAUAAUAAAUUGAGUGUAGAUGCUAAGCAGUGGACCUAAUGCUAAAAUAGGGGCACAAGAAACCUUGCAAACAGGGUACCAUUUUUGCUGGCUGGCCUUGCCAAAACAACUGAUUUGCAAGUGAUUGUAAUUUGGGAGUGGCAGUCAAAGGUUUGAUCCUAAGAUUCUGCAAGAAAGAGCUAAGAGUUAUAUACUUUUUUUACAUGUCGCUCUUUGUAUUACAGAAUGGGGACCAGCUGGGCUGGCAAAUCUUGAUUGCUUGUUUGAUAAAAAAUAAUAAUUUAUUGUGUUCCUGUGAUCUUGACAACAUAGUACAGAUUUAAUUUUUUUAAAUUUUUUGGCUUCCAUCCCUCUAACUAACGACGGACUGAAACCAAAAUUGUUUGAAGAUAGAAGCCAAGAGAAAACUUAACAACUGAAAGUNGUCACGUUUACAGAAACAUUGGAAGCAUAAUUAUAAUAUUUUCCUUCUUGAAACAAUGGGUUUGUUAGCAGGAAUCAUAGCCAUGCCUUAAUAGUACAUUGAUGAAGAUAUUCUUAUUGAUUGUAUAUCAUAGAGAUUGCAAUAAAUCUGUGAAAGAAUUAUGGCCAUUGAUUAAGAAAUGCAGCCAACACAAUUUUGGAAUCAAAAACAGCAGCAUGUAGCCUGUAUUGCAAGAGAAACAAGAUUGUCAACACUCAUCACAAAAAGAAAAAAAUGCAAAAAAGUUUAAAUAUUUGAACUUUUCCUCAGACAUUUAAAAAUUUUAUUAUCAGUGGGCAUGACAGAUACUACAGUCAUUUGUUUCAGAGAAAGAUCAGAGUACUUAUCUCAGGAACCUUUGCUACCCACACAGUUUAAUUAAGGAAAGACAUUUUUUUCUUUCACAGGCUCAUUGCAAUUUCUUUUUUCAUGAAGCAUGCAACCUUUUAUGACAGGCUUUUAGACUGAGCUUGUAUAAAUUGUAAUAUAGUUUUAAUGAUUAAUUUAUUGGAGUGUUGUAUUAUAGAUGAAAUACAGAGUGUA